rnacentral:rRNA from 1 species
AGUGAACGCUGGCGGUAGGCCUAACACAUGCAAGUCGAACGGCAGCACAGUAAGAGCUUGCUCCUACGGGUGGCGAGUGGCGGACGGGUGAGGAAUACAUCGGAAUCUACUUUUUCGUGGGGGAUAACGUAGGGAAACUUACGCUAAUACCGCAUACGACCUACGGGUGAAAGCAGGGGAUCUUCGGACCUUGCGCGAUUGAAUGAGCCGAUGUCGGAUUAGCUAGUUGGCGGGGUAAAGGCCCACCAAGGCGACGAUCCGUAGCUGGUCUGAGAGGAUGAUCAGCCACACUGGAACUGAGAUACGGUCCAGACUCCUACGGGAGGCAGCAGUGGGGAAUAUUGGACAAUGGGCGCAAGCCUGAUCCAGCCAUACCGCGUGGGUGAAGAAGGCCUUCGGGUUGUAAAGCCCUUUUGUUGGGAAAGAAAAGCAGCAGGUUAAUACCCCGCUGUUCUGACGGUACCCAAAGAAUAAGCACCGGCUAACUUCGUG